rnacentral:rRNA from 1 species
CUCGAUGUCGGCUCAUCGCAUCCUGGGGCUGGAGCAGGUCCCAAGGGUCCGGCUGUUCGCCGGUUAAAGCGGUACGCGAGCUGGGUUCAGACCGUCGUGAGACAGGUCGGUCUCUAUCCGCUGUAGGCGUCCGGAGAUUUGAGGGGGGCUCUCUCUAGUACGAGAGGACCGAGAGGGACAGACCUCUGGUGUGCCAGUUGUCCCGCCCGGGGCAUUGCUGGGUAGCUACGUCUGGUCAGGAUAAGCGCUGAAAGCAUCUAAGCGCGAAGCCUACCCCAAGAUGAGAUCUCCCAUCCUUCCUGUUCGCAGGGAGGAGUAAGACCGCAGAUAGACUAUCUGUUUGAUAGGCGGUAGGUGUAAGGGCAGUAAUGUCUUUAGCUAAACCGUACUAAUGGUCGAGGGCUUGACCUG